AUCCAGCUGACGAGUCCGAAACAGGACUUGACGUGCCUCCUGGAU
rnacentral:hammerhead_ribozyme from 1 species